GCUAGCUACAGGCUUAACACAUGCAAGUCGAGGGGCAGCAUGGUCUUAGCUUGCUAAGGCCGAUGGCGACCGGCGCACGGGUGAGUAACACGUAUCCAACCUGCCGUCUACUCUUGGACAGCCUUCUGAAAGGAAGAUUAAUACAAGAUGGCAUCAUGAGUCCGCAUGUUCACAUGAUUAAAGGUAUUCCGGUAGACGAUGGGGAUGCGUUCCAUUAGAUAGUAGGCGGGGUAACGGCCCACCUAGUCUUCGAUGGAUAGGGGUUCUGAGAGGAAGGUCCCCCACAUUGGAACUGAGACACGGUCCAAACUCCUACGGGAGGCAGCAGUGAGGAAUAUUGGUCAAUGGGCGCAGGCCUGAACCAGCCAAGUAGCGUGAAGGAUGACUGCCCUAUGGGUUGUAAACUUCUUUUAUAAAGGAAUAAAGUCGGGUAUGGAUACCCGUUUGCAUGUACUUUAUGAAUAAGGAUCGGCUAACUCCGUGCCAGCAGCCGCGGUAAUACGGAGGAUCCGAGCGUUAUCCGGAUUUAUUGGGUUUAAAGGGAGCGUAGAUGGAUGUUUAAGUCAGUUGUGAAAGUUUGCGGCUCAACCGUAAAAUUGCAGUUGAUACUGGAUAUCUUGAGUGCAGUUGAGGCAGGCGGAAUUCGUGGUGUAGCGGUGAAAUGCUUAGAUAUCACGAAGAACUCCGAUUGCGAAGGCAGCCUGCUAAGCUGCAACUGACAUUGAGGCUCGAAAGUGUGGGUAUCAAACAGGAUUAGAUACCCUGGUAGUCCACACGGUAAACGAUGAAUACUCGCUGUUUGCGAUAUACGGCAAGCGGCCAAGCGAAAGCGUUAAGUAUUCCACCUGGGGAGUACGCCGGCAACGGUGAAACUCAAAGGAAUUGACGGGGGCCCGCACAAGCGGAGGAACAUGUGGUUUAAUUCGAUGAUACGCGAGGAACCUUACCCGGGCUUAAAUUGCAGAUGAAUUACGGUGAAAGCCGUAAGCCGCAAGGCAUCUGUGAAGGUGCUGCAUGGUUGUCGUCAGCUCGUGCCGUGAGGUGUCGGCUUAAGUGCCAUAACGAGCGCAACCCUUGUUGUCAGUUACUAACAGGUUCCGCUGAGGACUCUGACAAGACUGCCAUCGUAAGAUGUGAGGAAGGUGGGGAUGACGUCAAAUCAGCACGGCCCUUACGUCCGGGGCUACACACGUGUUACAAUGGGGGGUACAGAGGGCCGCUACCACGCGAGUGGAUGCCAAUCCCAAAAACCUCUCUCAGUUCGGACUGGAGUCUGCAACCCGACUCCACGAAGCUGGAUUCGCUAGUAAUCGCGCAUCAGCCACGGCGCGGUGAAUACGUUCCCGGGCCUUGUACACACCGCCCGUCAAGCCAUGGGAGCCGGGGGUACCUGAAGUGCGUAACCGCGAGGAGCGCCCUAGGGUAAAACUGGUGACUGGGGC
rnacentral:rRNA from 1 species